rnacentral:rRNA from 1 species
CCUACGGGAGGCAGCAGUGAGGAAUAUUGGUCAAUGGGCGCGAGCCUGAACCAGCCAAGUCGCGUGAGGGAAGACGGUCCUAUGGAUUGUAAACCUCUUUUGUCGGGGAGCAAAAGACGCCACGCGUGGCGUUCCGAGAGUACCCGAAGAAAAAGCAUCGGCUAACUCCGUGCCAGCAGCCGCGGUAAUACGGAGGAUGCGAGCGUUAUCCGGAUUUAUUGGGUUUAAGGGGUGCGCAGGCGGAAGAUCAAGCCGGCGGUAAAAUUGAGAGGCUCAACCUCUUCGAGCCGUUGAAACUGGUGUUCUUGAGUGAGUGAGAAGUAUGCGGAAUGCGUGGUGUAGCGGUGAAAUGCAUAGAUAUCACGCAGAACUCCGAUUGCGAAGGCAGCAUACCGGCGCUCAACUGACGCUCAUGCACGAAAGUGUGGGUAUCGAACAGGAUUAGAUACCCCAGUAGUC